rnacentral:rRNA from 1 species
AUGGCCAUGGUCCUGGAUGCCUUUGCAUCAUACGUGCAAAACAUGCUCACGGAGAUGGUGACCGAAGAGGUGCACAUGCUGCUUGGAGUCAGAGACGAGAUCGACAAGAUGGAUGUCAAGCUUAGGGACCUCAAGAACUUCCUCGCCGAUGCUGAUAGAAGAAACAUCACUGACGAGAGCGUCCAAGAGUGGGUGGGCCAGCUCAAGCGCACCAUGUAUGAAGCUACCGCCAUCGUCGACCUCUGCCAGCUCAAGGCCAUGGAGUUGAGUCCAUCCAAACUAGAUGUGGGGUGCUUCAACCCCUUGCUCUUCUGCAUGCGGAAUCCCUCCCAUGCCCACGAAAUCGGCACCCACAUCAAGGCGCUCAACCAGAACCUCGAGACCAUCAAGGAGCGAGGCGCUGCUUUCAGCUUCAUCCCUCUUCGUUCCUAUGUGGAUCAUAGCAGGAAGGUGCAGGACUCUCAUUCUGGCAAUAAGAGACAUGAGACAUCAGGGGUGUUUGACCAGUCGGGUGUAGUAGGAGAGAAGAUCAAACAAGACAUAAGAAAGCUGGUUGAGACUAUGUUGAGUGAAAAGGACGGCAACACCAACAUCAUGGUGGUCGCCAUUGUUGGUGUCGGAGGUAUCGGCAAGACCACGCUUGCCCAGAAGGUCUUCAGUGACGAAGCCUUGAACAAGUUUGAGAAGACAAUAUGGUUGAGCAUCAACAAGGACUUCGACGAGGUUGAAUUGCUCAAGACAAUCAUCACACAAGCGGGGGGAGUACAUGGUGGUGAGAAGGCGUUGGCUGUGCUUCAGCCAAUACUUGCCACUACCUUGAAAGGGAAAAAGCUAUUCUUGGUGCUAGAUGAUGUGUGGAACCAUGGAGCAUGGGAUGAUGUGCUUAAAACACCCUUGGCUAAUGUUGUGGCUCCAGGUAGUCAUGUCCUCAUCACUACUAGAGAUGAAACAAUAGCUCGAAGGAUGAAAGUUGUGCCUCCCUACCACCAUGUGGACAAAUUAGAUGAGGAGGAUGCCUGGUCAUUGCUCAAGAAACAGAUAAUCUCAAGUGAGUUUGAUGGACGUGACAUUGAUAUGCUCAGGGACAUUGGGUUGAAAAUUGUAGCGAAAUGUGAUGGUUUGCCUCUUGCAGUCAAAGUAAUGGGAGGUCUAUUGUGUCAGAAGGACAAAAAACACCAUGAGUGGGAGAUGGUUCUGGCUGAUUCUAUACGGUCGAUAUCUGGAAUGCCCGAAGAGCUAAACCAUGCAAUAUAUUUAAGCUAUGAAGAUUUACCUUCUUGUGCCAAAAAAUGUUUUCUGCAUUUCUCCCUUCUCCCUAAAACUGCACUGUUUGGUAGCCAUGAAAUCAUUGGCAUGUGGAUAAAUGAAGGAUUUCUUCACGGGGCCUCGGAUGACUUAGAAGAACUUGGAAGCAAGUACUAUAAGGAGUUGAUACUGAGGAAUCUUAUAGAGCCAAAUACAAUGUAUAUUGAACAAAAUGUUUGCAACAUGCAUGAUGUUGUGCGCUCAUUUGCUCAAUUUGUGGCUAGAGAUGAGGCACUAGCAGCUCACAGUGGAGAAACAAAUAUUUUUGGUAAACUUAGUGCACAUGAGUUUCUUCGGUUAUCUCUAGAAAGCAAUGCAUCAGAACUAGCUAGAUGGGUUAGACUGGAGUUCUUUGCAAGCAGAAAAGACACUAAGGGUACUAAUAUCAGUUGUCUAUAUAAAUAUCAAGCCUGGUGA